rnacentral:lncRNA from 1 species
UAGGUAAAAACAAAUUAAAAACUAAGAAAUACAUUUACAUGAAUAAUGAAAUAUUGUUGAUGGCAUAUUGGCAUAUAUAUUAUAUAAUUAUGUUUUCAUUACCAAUACUCCAACAGUAACAAAACAAUGCUGCAUUAAUUAACUGUGUGAUUUGUGUGACAAAUUUGAUAAUGUGAUGCAUAUCUACACAUGACAUGGUCUGAACUGUGAGUUAAUGAUGCAGGGAUGCAAUGAAGGAAUUUGCACAGAAAUUGGAGAAACUAGCAGAGGAGUUGCUAGACCUGUUAUGUGAAAAUCUUGGAUUAGAAAAAGGGUACUUGAAAAAUGCAUUUUAUGGAUCAAGAGGUCCAAAUUUUGGGACAAAGGUAGCAAACUACCCUGCAUGCCCAAAGCCAGAGUUGGUGAAGGGUCUUCGUGCACAUACGGAUGCGGGUGGGAUUAUCCUUCUCUUGCAAGAUGACAAGGUCAGUGGCCUUCAGCUUCUCAAAAAUGGCCAAUGGGUGGAUGUGCCUCCAAUGCGCCAUUCCAUUGUUGUUAACCUUGGUGACCAAAUUGAGGUAUGUACCUUUUUCUUUCAAUAAUGGUUAUGUCCCUAAAGCAUAACACAGUACUUAUAGUAUUGUCGUUCAACAUUUUGGUCUAAUAUCAUAGGUCAUUACCAAUGGGAGAUACAAGAGUGUGGAGCAUCGUGUGAUUGCCCAAACGAAUGGGACCAGAAUGUCCGUAGCCUCAUUCUACAACCCUGCCAGUGAUGCUCUUAUCUACCCUGCACCAGUAUUGUUGGAGCAAAAGGCAGAGGAUACAGAACAAGUGUAUCCAAAAUUUGUAUUUGAGGAUUACAUGAAGCUCUAUGCUACACUCAAGUUCCAGCCUAAGGAGCCCAGAUUCGAAGCCAUGAAGGCCAUUGGCUCAUUUUAGAUUACUUCCUAUUGCAGUUGCAUGAAGAAACUUUAUUAACUGAUAAAAUUUGAAAGAAAUAUCAAUUAAGCUUGUUUAUUUAAUAUGCAAUUUCUUGUUACAGCGGGUGAUUUGAUUACUUGUAUUUCGGUAAAGGAAAUAGCCAAAAUUAUUCAAAUAAUAUGCCUUUUUUCUGCUGUUCUUUCUCUACUAUCUUCUUUGGGUCUAAAUCGAGCAUAUUUCCAUUUUUUUUUUGUAAGGAAAUUAAAUGUUAAGGAUUCUCUAGACAGUUCUUGUCAAAAUGAGACUUCUUCGUUAAUAAAAUCUUUCAAUUCGUUUUAUUUCAAUAAUUAAUAUGCCACUGUAUAACUAGAACAUGACGCUAUAGUUUUAUCUAAUUUUUUAGUUUAAUUACACACUUUUCCUCGUUACUUUAACAAUUUUGCAAAAUUCGUCACAGUAAUAUAACAUUGACUCCUGACGCGAUAGUUUUAUCUAGCACUGGCAUGAGAAUGACAUGCUGAUAGUCUAGCCAAUUUCGGGUUACAGCCACGGGGUAAUGGUACAAGCUUUUGAUUGUGUCUUAGUUUAUUUCCUGGGGCUUUGCCCUUUCAGUUCAACAAAAUAAAUAAAUGCAAUUAGAGGCAAAUUGCACAAAAUUUUGAAAUUGAAGAGGCAAAUUGUACAAAAGUUAAUAAAUGAUAAAAUUGUUAGUGGUGAGAUUAAUUUUCAUAUUUUAUUACUUUUCCUGUUUCAUUAUAAUUAUUGUAUAAAAGAAAAAAAUUAUCUUAAAAUAAUUAUCAUUUUAAUUUUUUGUUAAUGUAUUAUUAAUUUUUUUUACUUAUAUUUCUUGUAAUAUUAAUAAUGAAAAACAAAAAUUACAAAUAAAUUAAUGAUUAUAUAUAAUUAAUUUUAUAAAAUUAUUAUGCUCUUUUAUUUAUUAAUUAUUUUUUCUUAAUUCAUGUAAAAUAAUCUAAAAUGACAAUUAUAAUAACACAGAAAAUAUUAUCAUAAUCACUAAAUUACUGUAUUUGACAUGUUUAAUUUAAUUCAUAAAUAAAAAUGUUGUAUCUAUUCUAUUCGUCUCCAAAGUAUAACCAUUGGGGAAUUUAUUUUUUAUCUAAUAUAAUUUUUAUUAUUUAGUUAAAAUUAAAAAUAAUAUAACUGUUAAAAAAUCAAUCAUAAAAAGUAUUUAAAAUAAUACGUUCUUAUAAAAAAAUUGAAAUUAAAAUACCCGUCCCUCUAACCACUUAUUUUUUAUUAAAUAAAUAUUUUUUAGCACAAUCAAAUGGCCAUAUUUAUUGUAUGAAAAGUAUUAUUGUAAAAAAUAGUUUAUAUUUAACAAAUUAUACAAAAAUAAUAUAUAAAUUAUAUAAAAAAUUAAUAUAUAAAAUAUACCAUUAUCUUUUAUUAUUCAAAGUGGACUAUGAUAAAUAAGUUAUACUCUUAAAAAAAAUUGUAUUGAGGAAUCUAUCUUCAAUGUAAUAAGCAAUGUCACAAUGAAUUGUUAUUUUGACAAAAGGAAAAUCAUAUCAUUAUCAUUCAUAACAUUUGAGAAAUACAAAAGGGAAUGCAAUCAAGAUCAUCGAUGUUAGCAUUGAACCUUGAUGUUCUUCUAAGGUUAUAAGCAACAAGAUUGACUCAUCUCCUAGCAUAACUCGCCCUAGAGUUUGGAAUAGGAGAUAACAAUUGCCUACAGUUUGAUGGUAUCCAAUGAUAAGGGUUGAGUCCAGUUGCAACAGUUGUGAUGAUGUGAGUAAUCAAUUUGCAGUUAGUCUCAAAAACAAUAUUUUGGAGAUGCACUUCAGUAAUCAAUUGGAGGGUUUUGUAGAGACCAAACACUUCAACUUCUACAGGUUUCAGCAGCCCAUUGAAAUAGCAUGUUCGAGCUUUUAUGAAGAGACAAUUGGUGUGUCUCGUAGGCACAUGCCAAUGCCAAAACGCUUUUGUGUCCAGAUUGCAUUUCGUGUAUCCUUGCUCUGGUUUUUGCCAUUUCAUUUGGUUUUGCUAGAUAUUGCAUGAAGAGAUGAAUUGCAGUAGUUAGUUGAGUUUUAGAGUUCUCCCAAACUUUCUGGUUUCUAGCUUUCCAAAUGCUCCAAAGAGUUACAACUAGCCUGUUUUUUUGUUGCAGAGGAAGAGUAUGGAGAAGGUGGAACAUAAGAUGCUGGAAACCAUAUCCGAGGAGUUUAUUAUAGCUUCUAUAGAGUUCUAGAGGCCAGCAUGUUGCCAAAACUUGCUCUUGAGCUUUGGGACAAGACAUGAAGAGGUGCCACUCAUUCUCGAAAUGCGUAGAACAAAACCAACACUAGAGGCUUCGUCUGAUUGGACCCAAUAAUCAAAGAAAAAAAAAAAGGAGAAAGAUAAGACUAAAUUCUCUUUAUUUUCUUUCAUUUAUUUCUGAUGAAAAUGAGAGCAAAAUUGGGUGAUGUGGGCCCUAUUUUAAAAUUUAUUUUCACCAGAAAAAAAAACUCAAAUUUAUAUAUGAAAAGAUAAAAAGAUUCUCAAUCUAAUUAUUAAAUCUUUUUUAUAUUCUUUUUGUUAUUUAUUGUUGUUGUUUUUAUGUUAGAGGUGUUUUUAUUUAUCUGUUUGAGGUAUUUUUUUUCCUUCUCUUAUUUUUACUUUGCAAUUAUUUUUCCCCCCUCUUUUGUAUGUUCUUCUCCUUCCUCAUUUGCUCAUUCUCUUCUUCACGUUUUUUUAACGUUUUUUUUUCCUUCUUCGUUUUGCUAUUAAUUUGUCGUGAUGUUUCUUGUAUUUUUUUUCUUUUCUCAUUAUUUCAUCACUUGCAAUGUUUGCUAAUUUACUAUGAGCAUCCUGAUGGUGUUCGAAGGGUUGCGAUGCUUAAUUUUAUAAUUAUUUAAUCUUUUUUCUAAUUUUUUUAUUUAAGUUUAUAAAAAUAUAUUAAUAUAUUCAAAAUUUGUUAAUUCAUUUUUUAACUUUGUUUGUAAAUAAUUUUAUUUAAGGGUAUGCAUGUCUUUUUAUAAAUUUAUAUUUUUCUUUCUUCUCAUUUUUUAUACAAUCUAACAAAGGAAAAGAAAAUUCAUUUUAUCUUAAUUUCUUUUGAUUUUCUCUUAUAACAAACAAUAAAAAAAUCACCUCAUUUUUUUUUUAUUUCCUGUCUUUUUCUUUUCUUUCACUUUUCUUUAUUUUUAAUUUCUUUUGUAAACCAAAAAAAGAGUAAGAUUGACCAGCAUAAUUUUAAAUUAUGUCACCUAUGUUACAGUUUACUCCAUAGUUUAUUUGAGCAUUGAUUGUUAUAAUUUAUUUAAUUAUAUAAGUUUUAUAAUUAUAAAAUUUAAUAAAUAAAAUUGUAUAAAACAUAAACUUGUUUAAUUAAAAUAAAAAUCUUUAUUAAAUAAAUUUAUCGUCUUAAAUUUUAAUUUUUUUUCAUACAAUAAAUAUAGGGUUUGUGCUUUAAAAAAAAUUAUUUUAAGUGGGACAUCAUUAUAAUUUUAAUUUUUGUUAUAAGUAUAUAUUAUUAUAAAUUAUUUUUAUAACUGAUUUUUUUAAAUAAGUUAUAUUUUUAAUUAAAAUAAUAAAAUUCUAAUAGGAAAAAUUAAAUUCUCACAAUAGUUAUUACUUUGGGACCAAAUCUGCAAUUAACAAAUACGGCUAUAGUAUUCAUAAAAUAAUUUUUAUUUAGAACUAAAAAAAGUCAAGUGACUUAUUAUCUGAAGUGAUAGAGGAAUAGGAAAAGAGUAUGGAUUUUAAUUCUAUUCUGAACAUUUAUUAUUUUAAACGUUUAUAAUUUUCACAGAUUUAAUUUCUUAACUUUAAAUAUUUUCACACAUUUUAGUGUUUAAAAUUCUGUACAUUUUUUCCGAACUGUAGAUCGGCACAAUAAUGCCAUUUCAACGAUCCCUAUUAGUGUCAUGUGUAUUAUCAUGUUAAUAUCAAAGUAUAACGUCAAUAAUAAGUACCAUCACAUUAUUAGUCAAUUAACGAUAAUGACCAUUAACCGCCAUUACCCAUUGUUGGUNNNNNNNNNNNNNNNNNNNNNNNNNNNNNNNNNNNNNNNNNNNNNNNNNNNNNNNNNNNNNNNNNNNNNNNNNNNNNNNNNNNNNNNNNNNNNNNNNNNNCUUGGAAAAAUGGGAGAACUGAAAAGUCGUAAUCAGUUAGGACGCCAACAACUUAUCUUUUGUUUGGUGUCUCGUAUUGGGCAAGUGGUUAAGGAAAGGAAAGGAAAAGACAACUAGUACAGACAGAUAGUGAUAUAUCUUGUUUCCUUUUUAAUUAAAUUUGUAUCAAUAAUUAUUUUAAAAAAGACAUUGUCCGGCUAUAAUUAAUUUUCAAUUAAUGGCGUCUAAUUACUAAACAUGUGUUUGAAAACAUGUUGGGAAGUAAGAAAUUAUGUUUGAAUUUUGAAAUAUAGAAUGCAAUAAGUCAAUAAUUGCAAGCUUCUUAAUAAACAUGAAAGACUUUGGUUUUUAAAAAAAAACAUGAAACACUACAUCUAAAAUAUAAAUCCAAUCACGCUAUAGAAACCGUUGAAGUUCAAAACAAUUAAUAUGAAAAAUUUCUUAUGCUUGAAAAUUAUAAGCUAUGGGUGCUAAUCAAUUUUAGGAGGUAAAUUUUGCGGGUACCGAAUACAAUAACAGCAAGGCAGAUCUAUUGUCACUUAAUAAUUUGUUACAUGCCAGAAUAACAGAAUAAGGAGUUCACAAGCUUUCGUAAUAAAUAAAAGAUAAAUUCUAAUUAGUGCCUAAAGAAAUUAGUUAAGAAAUUUAAAAAUAAAAAUAUUUUUAUUGAGAGACGAAAAAUUAUAUUAUUUAUUAUUUUUUACGUUGUUCUAUAAUUUACAUAAUAAAUAUAUUUUUUUAAUUUCUUAAUUAAUAUCUUGAAUAUUAAUUAGCAAGAUCCUAAAUACAGAAAAUAAUUUUAGAACUUCAUUUGAUGGUGCUACCUUCUAAGAAACCACGUGCUGAAACAUCAUAGUACUACAAUUUAAGGGAAAAUGCAAGGAAGGUUGGGUUCGCCUCCAUGAGAUGAGUCCACCGAUACCAAAGUAGACAAUUCAACUACGUAAGUACGCAUGCAUCUCAUGAUUCAUGAGAUACACAGGAGAAUUUUUAAUUUGUCAUGUUGUCUUCACUGAACUCUUUGCAUUCCUAUAAAUGGCACACACCUAGCAUCCUAAUAUGCACCAACAAACACAUUAAGUAUUCUCAUAAGAACAAAGGAAAGACAAAGAGAGAGAGAUGGAGAACUUUCCCGUGAUCAACUUGGAGAAUCUCAACGGUGAGGCGAGGAAAGCUACCCUGCACCAGAUUGAAGAUGCUUGCCAGAACUGGGGAUUUUUUGAGGUACCCCACAACCACAAACUUGCUGACAAAAGCUCUGUCAUACUCACUCAAAUUUAUAUCUAUACAUUUGAAACAUUAAGUUUUCUUAAUCUUGUUCAUUUAAAUUAUAUAUGUUAAUUGUGCUGCUUUCCUGAUUGUAGUUGGUGAAUCAUGGAAUACCCCUUGAACUUUUGGAUACGGUGGAAAGGUUAACAAAAGAGCAUUAUAGGAAAUGCAUGGAGAAGAGGUUCAAGGAGGCAGUGUCAAGCAAAGGGUUAGAAGAUGAAGUAAAGGACAUGGAUUGGGAGAGCACCUUCUUUUUGCGCCAUCUCCCAACCUCCAACAUCUCAGAAAUCCCUGAUCUCAGCCAAGAGUACCGGUAUGAGAAAUUGAAAACCAUAUGAUAACGUGAUUGAUACAUAGCAUUGUCUACACAUGACAUGAUCUAAACUAGAUGAGUUAAUGAUGCAGGGAUGCAAUGAAGGAAUUUGCACAGAAAUUAGAGAAACUAGCAGAGGAGUUGCUAGACCUGUUAUGUGAAAAUCUUGGAUUAGAGAAAGGGUACUUGAAGAAUGCAUUUUAUGGAUCAAGGGGUCCAAAUUUUGGGACAAAGGUAGCAAACUACCCUGCAUGCCCAAAGCCAGAGUUGGUGAAGGGUCUUCGUGCACAUACGGAUGCGGGUGGGAUUAUCCUUCUCUUGCAAGAUGACAAGGUCAGUGGCCUUCAGCUUCUCAAAAAUGGCCAAUGGGUGGAUGUGCCUCCAAUGCGCCAUUCCAUUGUUGUUAAC